rfam:Angiostrongylus costaricensis strain Costa Rica genome assembly, scaffold: ACOC_contig0002212
CCAACGGCCCUCUUUAGGGCCACAAUUGGUAUGACUAGAAUGCGUU